rnacentral:lncRNA from 1 species
UAAAUUCUAAUCUUUCAACUAACUUUAAGCAACCCAAAUCUAACUUUCAAUUUAAGAAACAAAUAACAUGUAUAAGUACUUUAUAAUCUAAUCUCUAUAUCUGUAUAAUAUCAUACCAAAUCAAGCAAGAAUCAUCGGCAAACAUUGAGACGAAGAGCAAAGGAACAAAAUCAGAAAAUGUAUGCCUAACUUCCUGACCAGCAGACAUUUUUGGCUAAAAACAGUAUAGCUCAGCUAAGAAUUUCAGGUUGGUCUCUUCAUCACAAUUGUAAAAGACAACCUAAAGAUCAAUCUGGAACUGGAAUCGCACAAAAAGGAAUUUUCUACAAUUACUAAUGAUUUUUUAAAGUUCAGUUAGAGUUCCAGUUUUUCUUUGAAAAUUUACUGAUAAUUACCCACCUUAAAGUUGAACAGAGGCUGAACUUGGACCUUUGAUUCUUUGUUCCCUUCAGCUCCUCCCUACCAUUUAGCCAUAUUAGAACUGUCUUAACAAGUCUUUCGAAGGAACCACCAUCGCCGACAACGGCAGAAGAAACUAGAAAACUCAAAACUUGACAAAACAAAGAACCACUCACCAAGCUGUGUAGAGCCUGCGUAUUCCCCUAUCCUUCCCUUAGGAAGCUGCCCAGGGAAGUAGAAAUUGCACCAAACAGUCCGGCCCCCAACCCCCUCCUCCGCUGCGCCAAGCCCAGCCUCCUCUACUGACAUCUCCAACCUCGAACCAAAUUGGAAGAAAUUGAACUAACCAACCCAGAAACCUAAUUAGAGAAAGGAGAAGAGUACAAACCUCAAACCAAAUUGGAAGAAAUCGAGUGAGGAGCCAAAUGGACGAACCCCCAAAUCGACGAACCUUAAUCGAGUGACAGUGGCUUAGUCUCGAUUGAGAGAGGAGUGAUUGAGUUUGAGAGAGAAAGAAAUUGAGAGGAGUGAUUGAGAAGAAAUUGAGGAGGGUGAGAGCGGUUGAGUUCGAGAGAGAAAGAGAGAAGAGAGAAAGGGCGAUAGGUGAGAACGGUGACAGCGGUUGAGUUCGAGAGAGAAAGAGAGAAGAGAGAAAGGGCGAUAGGUGAGAACGGUGAGUGUGUGUGUGUGUGUGUGUGUGUGUGUGUGUGUGUGUGUGAGCGAUNNN